rnacentral:piRNA from 1 species
UCGUGUUCUGACGGCAGGCUAGUCUGCAUC